UACCCGCAGCACAAGUGGUGGUCAUUAUUAUUGGGCCUAAAGCGUCCGUAGCUGGCCUGUUAGAUGCCUGGGUAAAUCGAUGCGCUCAACGCAUCGAACUCCGGGUAGACCGGCAGGCUUGGGACCGGGAGAGAUGUGAGCUACUCGAGGGGUAGGGGUAAAAUCCUGUAAUCCUUCGGGGAGGACCAGUGGCGAAGGCGCACAUAGAACGGCUCCGA
rnacentral:rRNA from 1 species